AGAAUGACCACCAAUAGAUGUUAUGAACGCGCACAUGAAAAUAAGCUUGCACUCGGUGGCAAAUGAAAACCACAGAACACAGGAAAUACAAACGACAUACAGGCUCUGUUGUCUGACAACUGUACACUGAAUCAGCUUCUCUUCUUCAGCUACAUCUGACAGGUUGGAAACGCUGGGUUUAAACCACGGUUUCAGCACUUGUUUCCAAGUGGUUUCAAUAGAUUGAGGCAAACUUGGAACUAUGGGAAAUUUUGCAAGCUGCAAGCGAAGAAAGAAGAAACCUGAAGAAGCUGCAGAACCAAAAGACACAGCAUCGGACUCUAGGACAGAAGACGUCCUCUACGCCUCCAUUAACCACUCUAACAUCAAUCCAGAAAGACCUAUUCCAAACCUGGAGGACAAUGACUGUGAUUAUGCUGUUGUAAAGCUCCCUCAAGAGACCACACAUAAGCACAAAAGCACUGAAGACUGUUCAGAUGAUUAUGUGCUCAUGGGCUGAGCAUCGAGAUGCGGAAGUGGCUGAAAUGAACCAAAAUGGAGACCUGAGAUUAACAGACACGUCUGCAAAGGCCCAGUGACUUUGUAUAGGUUACAGUGAUAUUAAGCGUUUAACAUUUUAUUUAUUUUUGGAUUUUUUUUUACAGUAACAUUAUACAUUUUCCAACGCAUUCAAAGUAAUUACAUUUUAUGCCUGUACACCCACCUGUGUAGGUUUGAAUAUGUUGUAAAUUUGUGUUUCUCAAGCACAUUCCUGGACGACCACCAGCUCUGCACAUAUUCCAUGUCACCAACACCAAACACACUUGAUUUAGAUUAUCAGCUCAUUAGCAGAGACUGUAAUAGGUGUGACUGACGAAAGAGACAUCCAAAACAUGCAGUGUUGGUGAUCCUCCAGGAGAGUGGUUGAGAAACACUGUUUUAAAUGAUCAAUUUGGUUUGUACACUCUCAGAAAUAAAAGGUACGCACCCGGUCAGUGGGUUCUGUGGGGUGGUACCUUUUCAAAAGGUACACAUUUGUACUUGAAGAGUCCAUAUUGGUACCUCAAAAGUAUAUAUUAGUACUAACAAAUUUUAAGAGGAACACUUUUGUACCCUUUACGUAUUAAUAUGUACCCUUGAGGUAUUAAUAUGAACCAUUUAGGUACAAUAGCUUUUGAAAAGGUACCACCCCAGUUACAUGUUGCGUACCUUUAUUUCUGAAGAGUGUAUGCUUAAGAGAUUUUAUUUUACUAAUGAAAAUAAGCUGAUAUUAAGACUUUGAGAUUAAAACUUUUUAUAAUAAUAACAUUAUAAAUAUUUUCGAAGCAGUUGAGAAACAAAAACAGAAUAAUUUGAGGCAAAAUUAUAAAUUAUUACUAGUUGUUUCAAUGGCUAACCAAGUAUGUCUAAUGCCACUAAUGAGUUUCCUCAGGCUUUGUUUUGUGUUUGAUGUUGAUUUCGUUCUCUUGAUUUCUGUGUGAAUGAUGCCCUCCAUAUUAACUGUAGUAUCAUCAUGUUACAAUGUUGGUGGAAAUGGGAAAAAAGGGCAUCACUAGCUUUGAUAGAAUGUCAUAGGGAAGUCAAAAAAUAGCAAAGAAAAAUAUGUUGUAAUUUUAAUUUCAAUGUUUGGUUUCAUAAACAAUUGUUUUAUUGUAUACAUUUUAAAAGAAACACUUCUUUGGGGCUUAUCCACAACGUAACUCUCCCAGAGAUGCAAAGGGCAGUGAAGGUGGCACAUCAGAAAACAUUGCAUGUUUCACAUUGUUUACAUAAUAGCUAAAUUCCUCAUGAAUUGUGACAGCAUGCCCUGUGUUUCCCCCACUCCAUGCAAUAACGGUAGGUCUGUUGUAUUUAAAUUGUAUUUAAAGCAAAGGAAAGAUGUGUAUGAGAAACUUAUUAAACCAAAAAUAAACAUACCCUGAGAAAUAUU
ensembl:processed_transcript